rnacentral:misc_RNA from 1 species
UUAGAUAAAAUGGAGGAGGGCUUGGUUGGGAUGAAAACUCCAGAAUUUGAGUCUGAAUUCCCAACUCCUUCUCCAUACUUGUCAAGAACUUUCAGUUUUAAGACCCCCCCCCCCCUAUUCAUAUCUUUUAUCUACGUAUAAUCACCUUAUCCAAGUUUCCGAUGUACAUUUUGUAUAAUACCUCCAGUAUUAAUUAUUCUUUGUCUAGAAUACCCACUGAGCAAGAUAUCAAGAGGAGGAUGCAGUUACCAAUCAAGUACACAAGUACCGGAGACCUGAGGAUCAUAGCAGAGCAGAUAAUGACUCGGGCAAGAUCUGCUCCAGCAGUAGAGAAGGACUCCAUUCUUGUACCCAGGACAAAUAUAAACAUGUGGGGAAAAAAUCGUCCUUAUUCCAAAGCAAAUUUAAUGAAUAAAUUCUGCGGAUAUGAGCCAGUUAUCAACAGGGGGAGAGAUGAGAGAUGCAUGUCAGAUUAUCUUCAAGUCUCUGAGAGAGGUGGUAUGCAGAACCCUCAAUUGGAGACUCUUCAUAAUCUACUCCCAGCUGGUGCUCCACUAUUAGAUUUCCUCAGCUGCACCAUGGAAAGACCUGAUGAUUGGAACCUACCAGGUAGAGCAGAGGUUGAUUUCUGGUCCUACAAUAGAGGUAUAACCAAGGAGAUUCUAAAUCAAGUUGAGGUUCGGGAGAUCGUUGUAGGUUUGUCCACAGAUGAAGAAAUUGAGGAGAUCACAUCUUGGUUUUGGGAUAAAUAUGCCAUUGACCAGAAGAUCCUCCCAACCAAUGUUGUGAGCAUGGACGUGGAAGAAAUCAAAGUUACCUUAUAUGAUACUCUCCGCAUUGCAGGACGGAUACCUUUCAAGAAAGGACAAUUGAUGUCAAGGAAGGAAGAACCACAGAUCCAUGGACAGCCUGAGGAUAGAUUGCAGCAGUUACCUGUAAAAGUGAUGAUUGGUAAUGGUCUUAACCACGCCCUUAUGGUUAGCCUGGAUUUGUUCCGGGAUUCCAAAGGGCGUUAUGUAUUAAAUAAGAUUAAAGCUCCGGAUUCAGUUAUUAAGUUUUUCUCCCUACUACCUAUCUGUACUGGAGUGGCCGUUAAACAUGAUGUUGAAGGAGUACUCAAGUUCUACAGCCUGAUUACUGAUCUAGACGUCACAAUGAAGGGUUUUAUUGAAGUUUCUUCUAUUGCUCUAGUAGCUGGGUAUGCACUGCAGGCAAGAAAUAUGAAUGCUCUAGCCAUGCAAGUUCUUGGUAUAGUGAUGAAUAAAAUGUGUUCGACCGCGGAUAAUCUCUGGGGACUUAGAUGGUCUGAUAUACCUGACUCCCUGAAGGUUUACGCAAUCGGUGACUUAAAGGUUGGUCAUCUUGCAUAUUCAAUCAUUUCUUCCAUCAUCAUGAGGGAUUAUAUUCCGGAUCCUGAGAUAUUCAUGUUUUACACAGGCAAGUUUGACCAAUGGCUGACUGCAAACUGGUUUUUAAACCUUCUGGCUACCACCCUGGAGGGUACUGAGAUUCAUGAUAAGUCCUUCAAAUAUGCAGUCUCCAGGUCAGAUCUAGUCAAGUGUUUGAGGUUUAGAUAUUCUGAAGAUUCAGCUCUCAUGGACGAAUCCCCUAUCAGAGUUCUCAUGUGGGACAAGACUCGUGGAGAAUGGCCAUCCCUAACGAAAGGAGGUUGUAGGUAUCUCCACCAAUGCAGAUCAUGGUUUGUUGAGAUGGCAAGAAUCUGGACCAGACAAGGUUUGAGAUGGGAUGAUGGUAUAAAGAUGCCAUCAGUGACCGGGGAGAUUAUGCAUCACGCCACGUUUAAAAUAUCACCUGUUCAGAUUGCUAAUUGCAACUUCAGGGAUGCAACUCACCACUCUUCUGGCCUGAACAGACCCGGAUCCUUGAAGGUAAAGAAGCUGGAGUUGGAUCCAUCAACAGUGAAGAGCUUUUCUACAGGCAAACACUGUAAGAAGGUGAACCGUGAGCAAGUUCCUGUGAUACUGGAAUGGGCCAGAGAAAAUCCUACUCUGAUUGCUGGAUUUUUGAGAAGGAUGGGCUCCGAUAUACAGUUCCAGAAGUUUUACCGGCACCUGUACGAUCCGUUGAGACACUGCUACAGAAGGAUAUUUAACUGUGAGGCGCUUACAGUCAUCUUCAUGGAAGGCGUGCUGCUCAAAACCUUGAGGUAUAAACACAAGGAGGAGGUGGAUGUCACUGCAAGGUUGGUUGAGGAGCUGAGAGUUCGCCGGAAUCGGAUAUCCUACUUAGAAGAAAUGAUUGAGAUGAACGAUGAUAGCCUAAGAGCAAGAUGGUCUGAAGAUCUCCCAUCUCUUCCUGAUUGGGUGAUUGCGAGACAGAAAAAGGUGAAAGCCCAGAAGAGACCCUGUCCUAGCUCCAACCCGGAGCAAGUGUUAAAGAAAGUGAAACUCUCCGCAGAUCCUCCUCAGGAAGUUGAGACUCUGGAGCCUGAACAGGUUCACGUGGAGUCUCAGUCCGAGGAGGAUGAAGAGGUAGUUGUAGAAAUAGAUGAGGGCGAGGUAGAAGAUGAUGCUCCUAUAAUUCCUGAGAUUAGGAGCCAGCCAACAGUCCAGGAUGAGCUAGAUGUUUCUGCUCCCAUGAAGAACAAGUGCAUUUCUCUCAAAAAGAAGGGGAAGAAAAAGAAGAAGGGUUCGUCCUCAAAAACCCUCACCUAUGAUGAGAUGAUCGAGUAUCAGAGGGUUUCAGUUUUCUCUGAUGAUGAUUUCACACUGGAGACAGAUUUUAAGGAAACCUUCUAAAGUAUUUUUUAGAUUCAAUGCUCAGCUGUCUUUAUAUAUUUAUAUACAGUUCCUAAUAAUGUUUUGUACUUUUUUUUAAUUUUUCGCCAAGCAGAAUUUAAUUAUAGAUUGCGGUUGCAUUUUUUGUGCAUCCAUAUUUUUCAUAUAUAUAUUAAUAAAGUUAAAUCAAUCCGAGAUUAAAACUAUAAAUUGCGGCUGUGAUUCUCCUGCCAUAUGUAAUAUGAUCUCCUUAGUCUCAAUAACAAUUAUUGUAAGUACAGUGGUACAAGAUUAAAAAUUUUCUGGAUCCUAUUGUUUUUGUUAUAUGUUUUGAAAAUCGUAUCCUAAUAAAUGUUGAAAUUGUUAUUAAAUAUGUUCAAUUCCUCAAACAAAAACAAUUUUUUGGGUAAAACUCCUUAUUAUUUGCACUUAGGUCUUUCGAUUAUGUUUCGAAAUAUUUCCCCCGCGGGAGUGUUACGCGUACUUUUAAGGGUUUUCGAAAAUAAACGAAAGUUACUCUUUUUUAGAAGGACUCACUGUAUCUAUCCUGUUGUAACUCUCCUAUUGGUUGGAAAUAGUUCCACCAUGAGAGCGAGUCUGCUAUUGGUCAGUUGGGACCGAGAUUUACCUGAGAAACAAAGCCCGACUCAUUCAGUAUAUAGAGCUCGAGCUGUCAACAAUAGUAAUUCAGUUCUAAGAUCGAGUCGUUUCUCAGGUUUAUCUUUUCAGAUUCUUGUAAUGGCUUGAACGGAUUAGUUUCCUUUUUAUUUUGUUCCAUCUAUCAGGAGCCAGCAUAUAUUUGAUCUACAGAAACGUGUUUCCAGACAGCAAAGAAUGGUUUAAACUUUUAUAUGGUUGCAUACUUCAAGUCUGGACGCGGGAUACAAAGAACGGUUACUGAGAUGGAAUCUAGGUAAUAAAACGGAUUUCUUUUAGACUACGAGUUUUGGUUUUAUUUACCGAUUCGCGCUUAACAGCCCUGUAUAAUUAUAAUUAAUUUCCAAAUCAUUAAAUUUCAAAACUUUGCGUGAGGCCAAAACCACUUCUCUUUAUUUUUCAGAGUAUAAUUAGCUUGGUAUAUCCCUAAAAAUAUUUUUACAUAUAUAUAUAACAGAAAACUUGUUAAGUUAACUUAAAAUACAUUGUGAUGGCAUGUACGUGCUCCUCCUUUGAAAGAUGGUUAAAAACUGGCCAUGACAGGACAAAAAGAGCGCGAUUGACUGCGGGCCCUCCUUUUUUUCAUCCUUUAUAAUUUCACAUCGGAUGAAGCUGUUUGUCUUUUCAACCUCAAAACUCAUCAAACGGACUGAUAAAUUAGUUUUGAUCCGACAACGGAGUCAUGCUCCGACUCGAAGACAAUUGCGGACUAAAAAAAGACGGCUUUUUAUCAUCCGAUGACGGAGCUCCACAAAAAGACAUUUUCGGAUGAAAAAAAGAAUUCCGACAUCUGUAGAAAACAAGAAAACGGUGGAAAGUAAAAAUUAUUUUCUA